rnacentral:rRNA from 1 species
UGGGGAAUUUUGGACAAUGGGCGAAAGCCUGAUCCAGCAAUGCCGCGUGUGUGAAGAAGGCCUUCGGGUUGUAAAGCACUUUUGUCCGGAAAGAAAUCCUUGGCUCUAAUACAGUCGGGGGAUGACGGUACCGGAAGAAUAAGCACCGGCUAACUACGUGCCAGCAGCCGCGGUAAUACGUAGGGUGCAAGCGUUAAUCGGAAUUACUGGGCGUAAAGCGUGCGCAGGCGGUUUGCUAAGACCGAUGUGAAAUCCCCGGGCUCAACCUGGGAACUGCAUUGGUGACUGGCAGGCUAGAGUAUGGCAGAGGGGGGUAGAAUUCCACGUGUAGCAGUGAAAUGCGUAGAGAUGUGGAGGAAUACCGAUGGCGAAGGCAGCCCCCUGGGCCAACACUGACGCUCAUGCACGAAAGCGUGGGGAGCAAAC